GUGCUUGACUGCAAGAUGGGC
rnacentral:miRNA from 1 species